GCUGGGCAUGGUGGUGCGUGCCUGUAAUCCCAGCUACUCGGGAGGCUGAGGCAGGAGAAUCACCUGAACCCGGGAAGUGGAGGCUGCAGUGAGCCGAGAUCGCGCCACUGCACUCCAGCCUGGGCAACAGAGUGAGACUCUGUCUCAA
rnacentral:SRP_RNA from 1 species